CCUACGGGCGGCAGCAGUGGGGAAUAUUGGACAAUGGGGGCAACCCUGAUCCAGCCAUGCCGCGUGUGUGAAGAAGGCCCUCGGAUUGUAAAGCACUUUCAGUGAGGAAGAACGCCUGGUGGUUAAUACCCAUCAGGAAAGACAUCACUCACAGAAGAAGCACCGGCUAACUCCGUGCCAGCAGCCGCGGUAAUACGGAGGGUGCGAGCGUUAAUCGGAAUUACUGGGCGUAAAGCGCGCGUAGGUGGCUUGAUAAGCCGGUUGUGAAAGCCCCGGGCUCAACCUGGGAACGGCAUCCGGAACUGUCAAGCUAGAGUGCAGGAGAGGAAGGUAGAAUUCCCGGUGUAGCGGUGAAAUGCGUAGAGAUCGGGAGGAAUACCAGUGGCGAAGGCGGCCUUCUGGACUGACACUGACACUGAGGUGCGAAAGCGUGGGUAGCAAACAGGAUUAGAUACCCUGGUAGUC
rnacentral:rRNA from 1 species